UCAUAAGAACCCCUUGGUAGAUGCUUCUUUCAAAUUUCAAAAUUUAAAAUUACCUUCUUCCUACUGUUAAUUUUCUUAUAAGAACCUUUAUAAUAUUUAGCCAUAUUCACUUCUCUCCAAUUUCACUUUAUUCUCUUGAAAUAUUGCCAAGCCUUCAAGGCUAGUUCAAAGGUCCAUCAUAUCAUUCUUGAUUAUUUCAUACUUAAGAUC
rnacentral:lncRNA from 1 species